AGAAAAUCAGAUUUCUCUCCUCUGAUCUUUUCUCCAGGUAGAGCUCUGCUAGGGCACAACGAACCUCCCUCCUCUUUGGCUAGAUACGUUCAUCCUGCUUCUAACUCACUACCAUAGUUCUUAGAGCUGCGAUACUUUUUAGUUGCAGGUCUGUAGCAUUUUUGGUACCUAAGCAAGAUGGGAGAAAUGUCGAAGGUAGACCUGAUGGUGGCAGCGGUGCUGUGUAGUUUGGACCUGUCUUUGUGGCUCUUCGGAGCAGUUUAUGGCCCCAGUGCCUUUUUGUAAUAUCUUGCUCUAGGAGCACUCUUUUGCAAACUGUAAAACUUUUGUCUUGCACGUUUUGUAUGGCAUCCUUGGUGUGACUUGAUAUCUUUUACAUACUUUAUUGGAUGACUGUAAUA